GAUGCUCGUUUCGCGCAGCAGGACGGAAAGACCCCGGGACCUUUACUACAGUUUGAUAUUGGUGUUCGGUUCGGCUUGUGUAGGAUAGCUGGGAGACUUUGAAGCUCAUACGCCAGUGUGGGUGGAGUCGUCGUUGAAAUACCAGUCUGGUCGUGCUGGAUGUCUAACCUGGGUCCGUGAUCCGGAUCAGGGACAGUGUCUGAUGGGUAGUUUAACUGGGGCGGUUGCCUCCUAAAGAGUAACGGAGGCGCCCAAAGGUUCCCUCAGCCUGGUUGGUAAUCAGGUGUUGAGUGUAAGUGCACAAGGGAGCUUGACUGUGAGACCGACGGGUCGAGCAGGGACGAAAGUCGGGACUAGUGAUCCGGCGGUGGCUUGUGGAAGCGCCGUCGCUCAACGGAUAAAAGGUACCCCGGGGAUAACAGGCUGAUCUUCCCCAAGAGUCCAUAUCGACGGGAUGGUUUGGCACCUCGAUGUCGGCUCGUCGCAUCCUGGGGCUGGAGUCGGUCCCAAGGGUUGGGCUGUUCGCCCAUUAAAGCGGUACGCGAGCUGGGUUUAGAACGUCGUGAGACAGUUCGGUCCCUAUCCGCUGUGCGCGUAGGAGUCUUGAGAAGGGCUGUCCCUAGUACGAGAGGACCGGGACGGACGAACCUCUGGUGUGCCAGUUGUCCUGCCAAGGGCAUGGCUGGUUGGCUACGUUCGGGAGGGAUAACCGCUGAAAGCAUCUAAGCGGGAAGCCUGCUUCGAGAUGAGGACUCCCACCCACUUGAUGGGGUAAGGCUCCCAGUAGACGACUGGGUUGAUAGGCCGGAUCUGGAAGCCAGGUAACUGGUGGAGGUGACCGGUACUAAUAGGCCGAGGGCUUGUCCUCAGUUG
rnacentral:rRNA from 1 species